rnacentral:rRNA from 1 species
UACGUAGGGGGCAAGCGUUGUCCGGAUUUAUUGGGCGUAAAGAGCGUGUAGGCGGUCAGGUAGGUCCGUUGUGAAAACUCGAGGCUCAACCUCGAGACGCCGAUGGAAACCAUCUGACUAGAGUCCGGAAGAGGAGAGUGGAAUUCCUGGUGUAGCGGUGAAAUGCGCAGAUAUCGGGAAGAACACCCGUGGCGAAGGCGGCACUCUGGGACGGUACUGACGCUGAGACGCGAAAGCGUGGGGAGCGAACAGG